GGAAUUAUUAUAAAAUGACAAAUCUGUGCUUUAUUGUGCAGAUGUGGCGAAGGGGUUACUGACCCAUCAACUUGUCGCUAGGAUAUUUGCCUAACGAGGUUUUGACGGGUAACGGAGAAUUGGGGUUUGAUUCCGGAGAGGAAGCUAGAGUAUCGGCUUCCACUUCUAAGGGAGGCAGCAGGCACGUAAAUUACUCAAUGUCAACUUGACGAUGUAGUGACAAGAAAUACCAGUAUAGGUCUUUUUUAGAACUGUGAUUGGAAUGAAAACAAUUUAAAAACCUUAAUGAGGAACAAAUAGAGGACAAGUCUGGUGCCAGCACCCGCGGUAAUUCCAGCUCUAUUAGCGUAUAUUAAAGUUGCUGCGGUUAAAAAGCUCGUAGUUGAUUUUUGAUUACAAUAAAUACACUUGCUAUGCAUUUUGUUGGUCUCUUUGGUGGGCCUGACAUGUUGCAUUUUGUGAGUGUCAAUUUAAAUAAUCUAAUGAUUCAAGAAACUCUUUUUCGGUUCUUUGCUGCCUACCUCUUUCCUUAAUCGGGGGAGGGAAAGUGGCUUAGGGUUGGAUUUGAGACUCAAGUACUGAUGAAAUAAAUACUUUGAACAAACUAGCGUGUUUCAGACAGGCGUUUAUGCCUUUGAAUAAAUUAGCAUGGGAUAUUCGAAAAUGACAACAGUUUUGAUUUGACUAGUCAAAACUGAAUGUAAUGAUUAAAAGGGGUAGUUGGUGUUACUUUUAUUGUCUGGUUAGAGGUGAAAUUCUAUGACCCAUUGAAGAAAAACUGAAGCGAAAGCAUUUAGCGUGCAUGUUUUCAUUAAUCAAGAACGAAAGUUGUGGGAUCGAAGAUGAUUAGAUACCGUCGUAGUCACAACAGUAAACUCUGUCGAUUUAGGGUUGCGAAAAGUUACAUGGAUGACUUUGGCUGAAUUAUACGAGAAAUUAAAAUUACCAGACUCCGGGGGGAGUAUGGUCGCAAGGCUGAAACUUAAAAGAAUUGACGGAAGAGCACCACCAGGAGUGGAACCUGCGGCUUAAUUUGACCCAACGCGAGAAACCUUACCGGGUUAGGACACAAAAAGGAUUGACAGAUUGAUAGCUCUUUCAUGAUAUUGUGAGUAGUGGUGCAUGGCCGUUCUUAGUUGGUGGUGUGAAUUGUCUGGUUGAUUCCGACAACGAACGAGACCCUAUAAAUUAACUAGUACCUUUAUUGAAAAUGUUAUAGUAUUGGAUGAGAUCGGUCAAGUAUGGUUUUCUUCUUUCGGGAAGGGGAUUGUAUUUGAUCAUUUUGUCUCAUUCGAUGCACGAGGUUUGCUUAUGGGGUUCCGCAAGGGAUUUCUGUAAGUCAAAUCUUGGUCGGAUAUUUAUCCAAUGGUUGUGCUUCUUAGAAAGACGAUUCACUUUCAGUGAAUGGAAGUAAGACAGUAACAGGUCUGUGAUGCCCUUAGAUAUUCCGGGCUGCACG
rnacentral:rRNA from 1 species